UCGGACGAGAAAGUGGGGGCAACCCCAUGAGUACAGUGGCGUACGGGUGAGUAACACGUGGGGAUCUACCUUUUGGUGGGGGAUAACUCUGGGAAACCGGAGCUAAUACCGCAUAAGCAGGGGACUGGAAAGCCGAAAGGCGCCGGAAGAGGAGCCCGCGGCCGAUUAGCCAGUUGGUGAGGUAACGGCUCACCAAAGCAGAGAUCGGUAGCCGGCCUGAGAGGGCACACGGCCACACUGGCACUGAAACACGGGCAAGACUCCUACGGGAGGCAGCAGUGGAGAAUCUUGCACAAUGGGGGCAACCCUGAUGCAGCGACGCCGCGUGAGCGAAGAAGCCCUUCGGGGUGUAAAGCUCUUUCGACCGGAACGAUAAUGACGGUACCGGGAGAAGAAGCUGCGGCUAACUACGUGCCAGCAGCCGCGGUAAUACGUAGGCAGCAAGCGUUGUUCGGAGUUACUGGGCGUAAAGAGUGCGUAGGCGGUGGUCUAAGUUCGUUGUGAAAUCUCCCGGCUUAACUGGGAGGGUGCGGCGGAAACUGGGCUGCUGGAGUGUGGGAAAGGCAAGCGGAAUUCCUGGUGUAGCGGUGAAAUGCGUAGAUAUCAGGAGGAACACCGGCGGUGUAGACGGCUUGCUAGACCAUAACUGACGCUGAGGCACGAAAGCGUGGGUAGCAAACAGGAUUAGAUACCCUGGUAGUCCACGCCCUAAACGAUGCAUACUUGGUGUGGGCAGUUCAUUCUGUCCGUGCCGGAGCUAACGCGUUAAGCAUGCCGCCUG
rnacentral:rRNA from 1 species